UACGUAGGGGGCUAGCGUUGUCCGGAUUUAUUGGGCGUAAAGAGCGUGUAGGCGGCCAGGUAGGUCUGCUGUGAAAACUCGAGGCUCAACCUCGAGACGUCGGCGGAAACCAUCUGGCUAGAGUCCGGAAGAGGAGAGUGGAAUUCCUGGUGUAGCGGUGAAAUGCGCAGAUAUCAGGAAGAACACCCGUGGCGAAGGCGGCUCUCUGGUCGACCUCUGACGCUGAGACGCGAAAGCGUGGGAGCGAACGG
rnacentral:rRNA from 1 species